GGCCUCGUAGCUCAUUUGGCUCGAGCGUUAGCUGAACUAAAGCCUUCUUCUUGAUUGCCUGGGUUCAAAUCCCACCGAGGCCG
rnacentral:tRNA from 1 species